rnacentral:lncRNA from 1 species
GCAUCCCUGGGAUGAAGCCUACGUGAUCAUGAUGGAUGAUCAUUUGGAUGGGUUCUUGGAUUCCCUUUCUUUUAUACUUCAGAUAUUGUUUUUAUUGUAGAAGAUGGAAGAAUUUUGACGACCAAGGCAGCUGUCUCUGGCUGGAGCUUUUUCCUCCUGUGAUUCUGUUAGCCUCUGUCAGCACUCCUGGGCUUUCAACUCUCACCUGUGUCCCAGUGGUCAGAGCACUCACUGCAGGCAAGCUCUCCUCUUACAGUGCAGGUGUCCAGAAGUUUGGAGCUCUGAUCCACCUCCUGAGUCCUGGAGUCAGAGCCCUCCCUGUAGGCCAACUCUCCUCUGCCAAGGAAGAGUGUAUCCUGAGCUUUUGUCCCCACCGGCAAGAACACACUCGGGACAACCGGAAUCUUCUGCGGCAAAAGCUUUAUUGCUUACUACUUCAGGAAGACCCCGACCCCAGAAAAUGGAGUAGCUUAUAUAGCCCUCAGCCAUGGCGUUUCAACACCUGAUAUGGCGUGUCAGCUCCUGAUAUGUUGCUCGCCCAUCACCCCACUACUAUGUCCCGAGAUGGGCAGUGACUAGGAGCUUAACUACAUAUAGUGAACUGGGGAUAUUAAAGGAUGCCAUUUUCACAUUGUACUAUGAUCAAUUGGGAUACAUACACAAACUGACGCCAGAAAACUUUGACGCUGGUUCAAAACUUUUAGGGCAUGGAAAUUCUGGCAGCAUUUUUGGAAAGAGCUCCAAUUACAACUAGUCAUGACAAGAUCUUCUGUGAUCAGGAUGGUGUCCCCAUAGACAACGCAACUCGAAAAUCUGCACCUCCGGUCUCUUCACAUACAUCACUACACCCUCCUGCAAAGAGGCCUGAUUUGGGAUUUGAAGCUAUACUAGUUCCACAAUAUAUCUCUACCAACGAAAUGUAUUUCUUUGCACAUGUACCUCUGACUAUGCCUACCAACAUACAGUGGAAAAAGAGAUUUAAAACUAUUCACCUGGGGAAAACAAUAGAGUUCAGGUAAUUAAUGAUUGUAGUUAAUUAAAAAUGUAGCAAGGCUGCCUCCCAAUUGCUGGUAUUAAAGGUGUGCGCCACCACUGCCCGGCUUAUUUUCUUGUAAUUGAUACAAAAGUAAAAGUUCUGUCAUUUCCUUUUGUAUAGCAACCUUUAAUUCCCUAAAUUCUUUUAAUAGUUCUGGUGCAUUUUGUACAUGUUCCUUUAUGCUUUCCUAGUAGAACUAGAUACAGUUAUAAGUAAACCAUCAUAUCAUCAGCAAAUAAAUAACAUUUCUUAGUAUAUUUUACCUUUUCCUAUUACAUUUUGUAGGCCUACUAAUAAACACCUUACAUAAAAGAUAUCUUCUUUUUUUGCUCCUGGUUUUUAAAAUAAUAUUUUAAACAUUUCACCAUAACAUGAACUCUUUUAUAGUUUUUAACCCAUUAAAAUAUAAAAUAUCUUUCUUGUUAAAUGAUUUGGUGAUAUGUUGGAUGGAGAGAUGCUGCACAAAUAUAAAUAUCUCUGGUCAGAUCUUCAGCACACAUGUGAAUAGAAAGGCAUGCAAUGGUACACCUGAGAUCUUGAUUAUGGGAGGCAGAGAGGCAAGAGAAUCCCAGAGACAUGGUAGCUAAUCCGUUGUAGUCCAUUAGUAAUCUCUAGUUUCAUUGAGAAAGCCUGUCUAAAAACAAAGUUAAAUGUGGUUGAAGCAAUGGCUUAGUAAUUCAGAGCUGAUAAUGGUCUGGCAGAAGGGCACAAAUUUUGUUACUAGUUUCAUGUGAGCAAAUGUUUGGAUAUUUGUUUUGAAUUAUUUCAAAUGUAUGUUAAGCUAAUCCAUAGAAUUACUCCUUUAAUUUUGGUGAAUAAUGUGACUUAUAUUAUGGAUUCACUAUUCCUGUUUUUAUCAUUUUGUGUUAUCUAUGCUGAACUUCUGGAUUUAAUCUGCUAACUUUUAGGACUUUAACAUCUGUGUUCAAAAAUGAAGUUUAUCUAAAUUUUUUCAGAUAUAUUUUUUGCCCUUUAAAAUUUUUAUGGUCUGUUAAGAAAAUUAUAAAUCCUCAUAAAUAUUGUUUUUUAGAAAAAUCUUAGGAUAGUAGUUUUCUCUACUUUUUCUCUGUUUUUGGAAAUGUUUUGAAACUUUAUGUACUUAGAAUAAAGCCACUCACACAGCC